AGAAUGAAUAAGAAACAAUAAAACCUCAUAUCUCCUCAGACUGGGAUGGGUCGAUGCUCGGCAGUCAUUGUUUUAGUGAUGCUGGUGUUAUUCUUUCGUUCAGACUGUCGUCUCCUUGACUCUGUCAAUAAAUAUGAGGGGAAGAUGGGUGUAAAAGAGAAGAUGAAAAAGAGAACCGACGAAAAAGCAGGAACUUUCUACCCCAGGGAAGAGCUUCAAUGGAUACAUUCCCCAGACGAACAUUGCUUGGACCCAUGUUAAUUUAAAAACAAUAAAAUUAACAAUAUGUAAUAG